AACGAACGCUGGCGGCAUGCCUAACACAUGCAAGUCGAACGAGACCGCCGGGUCUAGUGGCGCACGGGUGCGUACCGCGUGGGAACCUGCCCUUAGGUUAGGAACAACUCCCCGUGAGGGGUGCUAAUAACGGUUAAUCUCAUCGGAGCAACGAUUUAUGGCCUUUGGAUGGGCGCGUGUUGGCUUAGUUGGUUGGUAGUGGAAAAGCAUACCAAGGAGAGGUUCCAGAGCUGGUCGGUGAGGAUGAUCCGCCAGACUGGGACUGAGACACGGCCCAGAAUCGUACGCAAGGGAGCAGUGGAGAACAUUGGAGAAUGGGCGAAAGUCUGAUACAGCCACGCCGCGUGAGUGAUGAAGGCCUUAGGGUUCUAAAGCUGUUUUAGCCGGGGUGAUAAUGACAGUACCGGGAGAAUAAGCACCGGCUAACUACGUG
rnacentral:rRNA from 1 species